UACGUAGGGGGCAAGCGUUGUCCGGAUUUAUUGGGCGUAAAGAGCUCGUAGGCGGCUUGGUAAGUCGGAUGUGAAACCUCCAGCUCAACCUGGAGUCGCCAUCCGAUACUGCCAUGGCUAGAGUUCGGCAGGGGAGACUGGAAUUCCUGGUGUAGCGGUGAAAUGCGCAGAUAUCAGGAGGAACACCGGUGGCGAAGGCGGGUCUCUGGGCCAUUACUGACGCUGGAGGAGCGAAAGCGUGGGGAGCGAACAGG
rnacentral:rRNA from 1 species